rnacentral:scRNA from 1 species
AAUGCACCGUCCGCAAUUACCGCUUUAGCUAU